UUGAAACAGUUAAGUAUUUUUCAAAGCAACUAAAAAAUAAAAAAAAGUUAUCUAAUAUAUUUAACUCAUUUGUGUUAAAAAGCCUUUAUUUUUGUCAUUGUUAACAACAUUUUGCUGGAUUGAAAGAUUGCAUACUUAUUGUUCUGUGUUUCAUACUUAAUGUAAAGAAAUCUACCAUAAUUCUUUUUUCUCCUUGGUGUGUAACACAACUUUUCUCUCUGGGUGCCUUCAAGAUUUACUCCUUUAUUUUUUUGGUGAGGAAGAUUUGCCCUGAGCUAACAUCUGUGCCAAUCUUCCUCUAUUUCAUAUGAAGGUCACAGCCACAGUAUGGCUGCCACCAAGUAGUGGAGAUCUGCACCCAGGGACAAAACCUGGGCCACUGAAGUGGAGCACACCAAACUUAACUGCUAGGCCAUGGAGCUGACCCUAAAAUUUACUCUUUAUCUUUGAUUUUCAGCAGUUGAAUAUGAUGGGCCCAGGCACAUUGAUUGCUGUUUAUCCCACUUGGAGUUCUCUGAGCUUCUUGAGUUGUGGUUUGAUUAUCUCAUGGUCUUUCAUUAUUUUUGGUAUAUUUUCAGCCAUUAUCUCUCUAAUAUUUCUUGUUUUUUGUUUUUUUUUUUUAAAGAUUUUAUUUUUUUCCUUUUUCUCCCCAAAGCCCCCUGGUACAUAGUUGUAUAUUCUUCACUAUGGUAUGUGGGACGCUGCCCCAGCGUGGUGUGACGAGCAGUGCCAUGUCUGCGCCCAGGACUCGAAACACUGGGCCACCUGCAGCUGAGCACACGAACCCAACCACUCUGCCAUGGGGCCAGCCCCACUCUCUAAUAUUUCUUUUAUCCUAUUUUUUCUCCUUCUUCUUGAGAACUUCCUGUAUACUAGACUAUUUGAUAUCGUUUCUAGCCCUUGGACGUCCUGUUCUGGGUUUCAUUUUUCCUUUUUGUAUUUCAGUUUGCAUAAUUUCUAUUGCCCUAUCUUCAGAUUUAUUAGUUCUUUCUUCAGCUGUGUGAAUCUACUGAUGAGACCUUCAAAAGCAUUCUUCUUUUCUAUUAUCUAUUGCCUGUUAUGCAUUUUUUUUUAUUUCAAGCAUUACCAUUUGACGCUUUCUUAUAGUUUCUUUGUCUCUGUUGACAUUGUGCUUCUCUGUUGUUUAUUUGUGUUGUCCACCUUUUUUACUAGAGUCUUUAUCAUAUUAAUCAGAUUUAUUGUAAUCCCUUGUAGGAUAGUUCCAAGAACUGCUUCAUCUGUGAGUCUGACUUUGUUAAUCACUUUGUCUCUUAAUAGUGACUUUUUCCCUUACUUUUUGAUGUGUCUUCUAAUUUUUGAUUGCUUGUCAGCAUAGUAUGUAGAAUAUUAAACAUUUAGAUAAUAGUUUUGCCUGGAAAUGUGCAUACUUCUUAUUCUGAUAGACUGUCAGCAUGGGGAGUUAUCCUCGUCAACAGAGGAACUGGAUUUGGGUUUUGUUGUUGCUCUGGUUACAUUUAGUGCACCAUCAGCUUCCAAUUCCUCUGGUGUGAUUUUUGCUUAAUGAAGAGAUUGGUUUUCCAGAAGGUUUAUCUUGAUCUUCAUGCUACACCUUUGUAUUUAGGAUCCCCCACGUGCCUGUGCUCUUGCUAUGCCCUUGCUCAUCCCUCACCAGGAGACAGCUGUUGCUUGUUACUUGGUGUUUGGGGUUAAAGGGGACACAGUUUUCUCCUCCUGACUCAGCUGUUUAUGUGGGCCUCAGGGUGGGGCUUUCUCAGCAAUCUUGCCCCUCUCUCAGAGAGGCAAAAGGACCACAUAGGACUCCAUGCCUUUCCGGCCUUCCUUCCUCCAGGACUGCAUCACAGAGAGAGACUUUGUGUAGUCUGCUGUCUUGCUCCAAUCUUUCUCAAGAGCAGCAGGAUGAGGAGGUCUUGUGUAUAGUGACAAGAAUGACCUUGGGGGGCCGGCCCCAUGGCUGAGUGGUUAAGUUCGCACGCUCUGCUUCGGUGGCCCAGGGUCUCGCCAGUUUGAAUCCUGGACACGGACAUGGCACCACCCAUCAGGCCAUGCUGAAGCAUCAUCCCACAUGCCGCAACUAGAAGGACUCACAUGGCGGGCUUUGGGAGAAAAAGGAAAAAGAAAAAAAAAAAGAAUGACCUUGGGAUCACCUUACCUAGGUUUAAAUCAAAUAACAUUUGGUCUCAAACAAGUUAUUUAAGCUGACUGUGACUCAAUUUCACCAUGUAAAAAAUAGAGAUGGCAAUCCUAGUGCUUAUAACAUAGAGUAGUUGUGGAAUUUAAAUGGCAAUCUUAUAAAAACAUAGUAAGUGCCUAGCACAAAGAAAGUGCUCAUAAAUACUGCUUUGUGUUGUUAUGCUUAGCCUACAGAUCCAGCCACGAGAUCAAAGUGUCAGUUGACAUGUAUAUGCUACAUUUAUUGCCAGUCUUACCUGAACAAAUAAUUUUAGCCAUAUUCUGAUUAACAAUUUCUAAUCUUUAGAUGAGUUCCAUUUGGACUCUGGAGGACAUCCAGUAACUGGUUGGUAAAUAUGUCACUCUGACUGAGCCUAUGAAUCUCUGUUUGGUCUUAUAAAAAGUUUGAAAAGCUUCCUAUUAUGAAUUUGUCUAAUUCCCUCUCCAAAAGUGAUUGCCUUCAUUUUACUUUUACUUCCAUCUCUCCUACCUUUCUUAAAGAAAAAAUAAGGAUCAUAUAUAUGUUCUGCAUUUUGUAUCUGUCAUUCUGAUUUCUAAUCUAUCUU
rnacentral:lncRNA from 1 species